CUGAGAGCAGAACAGAACACAAUCUUCAUCAUCACACAAGACACAACAACAACAAUGAACAACAUCAUCAUCCUCAUCUGGACCAUUGCAGCUUUUAUUCAAGCCUCCAGAGGAAUCACUCUGACUCAACCUGAAGUUAAAACUGUCCAGCUCGGUCAAACAGCUACAAUAGAGUGUAACAUAGAUGUAGGGAUAUAUAGUGACUACUUAGCCUGGUAUCAGCAGAAACCUGGAGAAGCUCCUAAACUCCUCAUUUAUUACAUAAACAGCCUCCAGUCAGGAACUCCUUCUAGAUUCAGUGGCAGUGGAACAGCGAGUACUGGAAAAGAUUUCUCUCUGACCAUCAGUGGAGUCCAGACUGAAGAUACAGGAGAUUAUUACUGUCUGAGUAGACACUAUAUCAAUAGUAUCUGGGUGUUCACACAGUGAUAAAGAGUCGUACAAAAACCUCCGUCAGUCAGAGUCACAGUGA